CAAGCAGCUACAGUAACAUUACACUAACAUAAUUACAUGGCUCUUAAAAGCAAACACUGAAAGAUUCAGCCCCAGCUGAAUUUUGCUCCUCGGAUUUCGGCCUUGCUGAGCUAUUGGGUCGUGGCAUGUCUUCUGUUGCGGUUGUUUACUUAUUUAGGUUAUUAUGAUGUUUCCCCACAGCUGAGAAAAUGGCUCUCCCCUUGUUUCAACUCUCAUGCGGUGACUGCUUCAUGUUUCAGAUGGCUGGUGGUAAAGGACUCCUUUGUUCUCUACAUGAGGCCAGAGGAUGGCCAAGUAGGCACUGUGAUUCUGUACGAUAAGGGAUUUCACAUCAAAAUAUGGACCCAGGAGACGGGAGUCAGGCAUGGAGUCACGAUUGAGAAACUUUGCAGGGCACUUACUAUCAAGUGCAGGCUCAUUGGUGGGGGCACUCCAUAGAUGUUUUUUCUUAAAUAUUUGGACAGGACUUUCUGAGGGAAAACCAUCAUGGGUCUUUCACACCUGUUAGAGUAAACACUACAUCGAAAUGGUGAGAAAUUAUGCCGCAUUAAUCAUUUAAAUAUAUUAUGAGACUCCAAUUAAAACAAUAGAAGACGUGAUUCAUUAUUUCUAAAUAUAUUUAAAUUGUACAAUAUUUUUAGUUUAAUUUAAAGUAUUACAGUAAUCUCAGAAAUUCAGCUAGUCCCUCAUUCUUUGUUCUUUUUAUGUCGACAUGUGAGCAACACUUGCCAGAAGUUCCCUGACAGAGUUCUCCCUGAAGUUCUCUGUGAAGUUCCCUGACACAGUUCCUUAAAUGAAGCACCCUGUGCUACUUUUGAAGGUUUGUCAACGCAGCUGGAUACUUUGAUGCCAUAGCUGUUUCUUGGAAGGAGCAAAAGAGGAAAUCUUCAUCACAGCCUGGUGGUACAGAUUAAAAUCAGUUUCAAUUACUCCCCAUUUGCCUAGCUUUUACAAUUCUGUGAGAGCUUAUGUCGCACCUUUUAAUGCACCAUUUUUUUGUACCAUUGCUAUUUUUUGUGACUGCAAUGUGAUUUGAGAUGUUUUACAAAAGGAGAAGAAUACAUAAAUGGUUUUUUAGUACUGUGGUCUCAUUGGCUAAUCAUUUUAAUGAUACUGAACCAAGCAAGUAUAUAUUUUUAAAGGAAUAGUUCAUUAGCAAGUGAAAUUUCUGUCAUUAUUCACUCACCCUGUUGUUUUAAACUGUGUGACUUUCUUUCUGUGUAGGAGAAUUUUAAAAAGAGUUCCCAGGAUGUUCUUUAAAAGUUCACCUUUCGUUUUUGUUAGAUUUAAGAAAGCCAUAGAUGUUUGGAACAACAUGGAGCUGAAUGAAUUGUUUGCGUAAACUAUCCCUUUAAUAUAACAGAAAUAAAGAAUGAAAGUUGUAUAGAAGUUGUCA
ensembl:lncRNA